UGGGGAAUUUUGGACAAUGGGGGCAACCCUGAUCCAGCCAUACCGCGUGAGUGAAGAAGGCCUUCGGGUUGUAAAGCUCUUUCAGCCGGAAAGAAACUGCUUCUAUUAAUACUAGGAGUAGAUGACGGUACCGGCAGAAGAAGCACCGGCUAACUACGUGCCAGCAGCCGCGGUAAUACGUAGGGUGCGAGCGUUAAUCGGAAUUACUGGGCGUAAAGGGUGCGCAGGCGGUUUUGUAAGCCAGAUGUGAAAUCCCCGGGCUCAACCUGGGAACUGCAUUUGGGACUGCAAGGCUAGAGUACGGCAGAGGGGGGUAGAAUUCCACGUGUAGCAGUGAAAUGCGUAGAUAUGUGGAGGAAUACCGAUGGCGAAGGCAGCCCCCUGGGUCGAUACUGACGCUCAUGCACGAAAGCGUGGGGAGCAAACAGGAUUAGAUACCCUGGUAGUCCACGCCCUAAACGAUGUCAACUAGGUGUUGGGGAAGGAGACUUCUUUAGUACCGCAGCUAACGCGAUAAGUUGACCGCCUGGGGAGUACGGUCGCAAGAUUA
rnacentral:rRNA from 1 species